rnacentral:rRNA from 1 species
GGAGGAUGCGAGCGUUAUCCGGAUUUAUUGGGUUUAAAGGGUGCGUAGGCGGCACGCCAAGUCAGCGGUGAAAUUUCCGGGCUCAACCCGGACUGUGCCGUUGAAACUGGCGAGCUAGAGUGCACAAGAGGCAGGCGGAAUGCGUGGUGUAGCGGUGAAAUGCAUAGAUAUCACGCAGAACCCCGAUUGCGAAGGCAGCCUGCUAGGGUGCGACAGACGCUGAGGCACGAAAGCGUGGGUAUCGAACAGGAUUAGAUACCCUGGUAGUCCACGCAGUAAACGAUGAAUACUAACUGUUUGCGAUACAAUGUAAGCGGUACAGCGAAAGCGUUAAGUAUUCCACCUGGGGAGU